rnacentral:tRNA from 1 species
CGGGGCGUGGCUCAGUCUGGUUAGAGCGCUUGGUUUGGGGCCAAGAUGCCGGUGGUUCGAAUCCACUCGCCCCGACCA